UGGUUUUAUCGGCAGAAUUUCUUAUCGAUUCUUCUUUUUUGUCCUUUUGCGCAGACAAAAUUUCCAUUUGAUCGAAGAAUUUUAGAAAAAAGCAUUCAAAGACGCUCCCUAUCUCCUCAUUGAUUUUUGUAACUGAUUCGGAAAAAAAACACGACAAUUUUGCAGCAGAUGGGGGUGUCUAAAUGGUUGUCGUGGCUGAGAGUGAGCAAACUACUCUUAGCCUAUCUCUCCUUCCUCCUUCUCUUCUCAUUCUUCUUCAUCUACUUUCUUAUGUGCAGCCAGAGAGCCCUAAUAGCCAGUGGGAGUCUUACAAUAGCCUUAUAUGGGGGAUCUGGUGUCGUGAACAUCACUCAUCAGCUGCCGAGGAGGUCAGAAGACAAGAACUUCUUCGACAGAAGAAGAGCUACUGUUUCUCCGUUUUUACUUCAAAACUUAUCGGGGAGCGCACUCAGUCGACUUUAUUUAACGAAACCAGAAAUAACCACGAAGUGGAAAGCAGUUCAGAAUUUUAUCAAUGUGGUCUCGCUGCCAGAGACAAAACCAGGCGA